UACGUAGGUCCCGAGCGUUGUCCGGAUUUAUUGGGCGUAAGGCGAGCGCAGGUGGUUUAUUAAGUCUGGUGUAAAAGGCAGUGGCUCAACCAUUGUAUGCAUUGGAAACUGGUAGACUUGAGUGCAGGAGAGGAGAGUGGAAUUCCAUGUGUAGCGGUGAAAUGCGUAGAUAUAUGGAGGAACACCGGUGGCGAAAGCGGCUCUCUGGCCUGUAACUGACACUGAGGCUCGAAGGCGUGGGGAGCAAACAGG
rnacentral:rRNA from 1 species